rnacentral:rRNA from 1 species
UACGUAGGGUGCAAGCGUUGUCCGGAAUUAUUGGGCGUAAAGAGCUCGUAGGCGGUUUGUUGCGUCGGCUGUGAAAUCCCGAGGCUCAACCUCGGGUCUGCAGUCGAUACGAGCAAACUAGAGUGUUGCAGGGGAGACUGGAAUUCCUGGUGUAGCGGUGAAAUGCAUAGAUACCAUCAAGAACACCGAUUGCGAAGGCAGCUUACUAAGCUGUAACUGACGCUGAGGCUGCGAAAGCGAGGGGAGCAAACAGG